rnacentral:lncRNA from 1 species
GCAGCGGAAGGUGCUUCUGUAGUGGAAGAAGGAGCGGUUGAGAUCUUUCUCUUCUUAGAGAUUUCCUCUUCAGAACUGAAGCUAAUGCGCGAGAACACACCCGCUUUUUGCUUCCGAUCCGCUUCGGCCGCUGCGGCGCUGGAAGAGGUGGUUGUUUUGGUGACUGGUUCAGUAGAUUUUCUGGAUAAAGAAUCAGAGCGGUGAUGGCGGCGGUGAUGGUGACGUUCGUGUUCAUGGAUGUCACGAUCACUGUCUCGGUGAUCGUGGUCAAAGUUUCGAUCACGAGAACGUUUGCGUUCUCGAUCGGAAUUUCUCUUAGGAGGAGGUGGAGG